rnacentral:rRNA from 1 species
AUUGAACGCUGGCGGCAUGCCUUACACAUGCAAGUCGAACGGUAACGCGGGGCAACCUGGCGACGAGUGGCGAACGGGUGAGUAAUGUAUCGGAACGUGCCCAGUUGUGGGGGAUAACUGCUCGAAAGAGCAGCUAAUACCGCAUACGACCUGAGGGUGAAAGCGGGGGAUCGCAAGACCUCGCGCAAUUGGAGCGGCCGAUAUCAGAUUAGGUAGUUGGUGGGGUAAAGGCUCACCAAGCCAACGAUCUGUAGCUGGUCUGAGAGGACGACCAGCCACACUGGGACUGAGACACGGCCCAGACUCCUACGGGAGGCAGCAGUGGGGAAUUUUGGACAAUGGACGCAAGUCUGAUCCAGCCAUGCCGCGUGCGGGAAGAAGGCCUUCGGGUUGUAAACCGCCUUUGUCAGGGAAGAAACGCUCUGGGCUAAUACCCUGGGGUAAUGACGGUACCUGAAGAAUAAGCACCGGCUAACUACGUGCCAGCCGCCGCGGUAAGAC